rnacentral:rRNA from 1 species
CUACGGGUUGCUGCAGUGGGGAAUAUUGGACAAUGGGGGAAACCCUGAUCCAGCAAUGCCGCGUGUGUGAAGAAGGCCUGCGGGUUGUAAAGCACUUUCGGUUGGGAGGACUGCUUCUAGCACUAAUAUUGUUGGAAGUUGACGUUACCUUCAGAAGAAGCACCGGCUAACUCCGUGCCAGCAGCCGCGGUAAUACAGAGGGUGCAAGCGUUAUCGGAAUUACUGGGCGUAAAGCGCGCGUAGGCGGCUAGAUCAGUCGGGUGUGAAAGCCCCGGGCUUAACCGGGGAACUGCAUCCGAUACUGUCUAGCUUGAGUACAGGAGAGGAGAGUGGAAUUCCACAUGUAGCGGUGAAAUGCGUAGAUAUGUGGAGGAACACCAAUGGCGAAGGCAGCUCUCUGGCCUGAUACUGACGCUGAGGUGCGAAAGCGUGGGGAGCAAACAGGAUUAGAUACCCCAGUAGUC